UCGUAGAUUGAUUCGUCUGCUUAAUUGCGAUAACGAACGAGACCUCCGCCUGUUAACUAGACCUUGUUUCGCGAGAAGCAAUAUCCUUCGGGUGGUCUUCUUAAAGGGACAAUCUACGCUUUUUACAAGUAAGUGGAUGGAAGUAGGAGGCAAUUACA
rnacentral:rRNA from 1 species